GGAUUAGAUACCCUGGUAGUCCACGCCGUAAACGAUGGAUACUUGUUGUUGGAGGUAUUGACCCCUUCAGUGACGCAGCUAACGCGUUAAGUAUCCCGCCUGGGGAGUACGGUCGCAAGAUUAAAACUCAAAGAAAUUGACGGGGGCCCGCACAAGCGGUGGAGUAUGUGGUUUAAUUCGAUGCAACGCGCAAAACCUUACCUGGGCUUGACAUGAACUGGAAGAGUGGCAGAGAUGUCCUCGUUCGCAAGAACCGGUUCACAGGUGCUGCAUGGCUGUCGUCAGCUCGUGCCG
rnacentral:rRNA from 1 species